rnacentral:rRNA from 1 species
GCUCAUUAUAACAGCUAAAAUUUACUUGAUUUUGACUUUUAUCCUACAUGGAUAACUGUGGUAAUUCUGGAGCUAAUACAUGCACAAAAGCUAAAUCUGUAAAAAGAUUUAGUGCGUAUAUUAGUAUUAAAACCAAGCAUCUUCGGAUGUUUAGUGUUGAACCUGAAUAUAUCUGGCUGAUCGUAUGGUCUUGUACCGACGACAUGUCAUUCAAGUGUCUGAUCUAUCAACUUUCUAUAUAAGUAUAUAGUACUUAUAUGGUUUUGACGGAUAACGGAGUAUUAGGGUACGACUCCGGAGAAAAUGCCUGAGAAACGGCGUUUACAUCCAAGGAAGGCAGCAGGCGCGAAAAUUACCCAUUCUCAGUUCGAGGAGGUAGUGACGAGAAAUGACAAGAUCUAUUCCUUAGGGGAUGGAUCAUUGGAAUGGUUUGAUUUUAAAAUCGUUAAAGAGUAUCAAUGAGAGGGCAAGUCUGGUGCCAGCAGCCGCGGUAAUUCCAGCUCUCAUACUGCAUUGAAUUGUUGUUGCGGUUAAAAAGCUCGUAGUUGGAUCUGUACAUGAUAGGUUAGUUCACCCUUUGGGUUGUAACUGAUACUAAAUGUUUUUUAUAAGAUUUUUUUUACCGUGUAAACGGGAAAAACGGAUCUUAUGAGUUUACUUUGAAUAAAUCAGAGUGCUCAAAACAGGCGUAAGCUUGUAUGGUUUUGCAUGGAAUAAUAGAACAUGACUAUGGUUCAUGUUUUAUUGGUUUUACUUACCAUAGUAAUGAUUAAAAGGAACAAACGGGGGCAUCCGUAUCGCAAGGCGAGAGGUGAAAUUC